rnacentral:lncRNA from 1 species
GAAUAGGAAGAUAGAUUUCUAACUAAGCGUGAAAGUUGCGAACCUCAUGGAUUUCAUCCAUACGGCAGCAACCACCAAAUUUUCCAUACGAUCGAAACAAGACGAUCCAGGAAUCAAUCUUUAGCGCUUCAUACCAUGUUUGUGCUUCGAUCUCAGAGAAGCACAGAUAAGUUGAGCAGUAACAAAUCUAAUUAGAAAGCGAGAUAUAAUCGCCAAACAGAUCCAUGAGACCCGAUCUAUCUAAAAGAGAAUAAAGAAUGGACACAUGAAGAAGAGAUAUAAAAACAUCCUUUCUUGGUCACAGAGAUAUAAUCCACUCUAACCCCAAAGAAAGCAGAGGACAUGAGAUGGAACGAGGGAUCGUUUACCGUGGUACUUACCGAAGUAAGCCGACAUCGU